UUCUCAUUAGCACAGUGGUAGUUGCGUCGAGCUGUUACUUUCCAAUCAAGGAUCGACACUCGAAGGUCGUUGGUUCGACCCCAACAUGGGAAG